rnacentral:rRNA from 1 species
CGUGCCUAAUACAUGCAAGUCGAGCGGACAGAAGGGAGCUUGCUCCCGGAUGUUAGCGGCGGACGGGUGAGUAACACGUGGGUAACCUGCCUGUAAGACUGGGAUAACUCCGGGAAACCGGAGCUAAUACCGGAUAGUUCCUUGAACCGCAUGGUUCAAGGAUGAAAGACGGUUUCGGCUGUCACUUACAGAUGGACCCGCGGCGCAUUAGCUAGUUGGUGAGGUAACGGCUCACCAAGGCGACGAUGCGUAGCCGACCUGAGAGGGUGAUCGGCCACACUGGGACUGAGACACGGCCCAGACUCCUACGGGAGGCAGCAGUAGGGAAUCUUCCGCAAUGGACGAAAGUCUGACGGAGCAACGCCGCGUGAGUGAUGAAGGUUUUCGGAUCGUAAAGCUCUGUUGUUAGGGAAGAACAAGUGCAAGAGUAACUGCUUGCACCUUGACGGUACCUAACCAG